rnacentral:tRNA from 1 species
GGGAGUGUGUGCAAGUGGUCUAAGCCGCCUGGUUCUGAGCCAGGAUGUUCGUCAGUUCGAAUCUGACCUCCCCUG